UCGUUCGGCAAGAUCGGCUCUUGGCGCAUCGUGCCCAUUCCGACUAUGAGACGCGCUU
rnacentral:sRNA from 1 species